rnacentral:rRNA from 1 species
UACGUAGGUGGCAAGCGUUGUCCGGAAUCACUGGGCGUAAAGGGCGCGUAGGCGGCCCGUCAAGUCCCGUGUGAAAGCCCCCGGCUCAACCGGGGAACGGCGCGGGAAACUAGCAGGCUUGAGUUCGGGAGAGGGAAGCGGAAUUCCGGGUGUAGCGGUGAAAUGCGCAGAUAUCCGGAGGAACACCGGUGGCGAAGGCGGCUUCCUGGACCGACACUGACGCUGAGGCGCGAAAGCUAGGGGAGCAAACGGG